GAUGAACGCUGACAGAAUGCUUAACACAUGCAAGUCUACUUGAAUUUGGGUUUUUUAACUUAGAUUUGGGUGGCGGACGGGUGAGUAACGCGUAAAGAACUUGCCUCACAGCUAGGGACAACAUUUGGAAACGAAUGCUAAUACCUGAUAUUAUGAUUAUAAGGCAUCUUAGAAUUAUGAAAGCUAUAUGCGCUGUGAGAGAGCUUUGCGUCCCAUUAGCUAGUUGGAGAGGUAACGGCUCACCAAGGCGAUGAUGGGUAGCCGGCCUGAGAGGGUGAACGGCCACAAGGGGCCUCAGACACGGCCCUUACGCCUACGGGAGGCAGCAGUGGAGAAUAUUGGACGAUGGACCAAGAGUCUGAUCCAGCAAUUCUGUGUGCAAGAUGACGUUUUUCGGAAUGUAAAGUGCUUCCAGUUGGGAAGAAAAAAAUGACGGUACCAACAGAAGAAGUGACGGCUAACUACGUG
rnacentral:rRNA from 1 species